rnacentral:siRNA from 1 species
UUCUUAUGGUUGCAGUCACUGC